UAGAAACCGAUUGUGCCAGUUAGGACGAAGAAUGCGUAAGAGAUGAUAAUCAUGUACCCGAAGUAGAGCAUUCCCGAGACUAGCUUUGUGAUCUCCAGCUUUGUGAAGAAGUAGAAGAUUGAGUAGAGGAAGAGGUAGAAAGCGGAUGAGCCCGCAGUUAAGUAAGCUCUCCACCACCAGUUGUAGUCUUCGCUACAAAGCUGGAAGUAGCAGAGCACCACUGUGAUCUCUGCACAGGUGACGAUCAAGAUCAAAAAAACUAUAAAGAGGAACCCGAAGAUGUAGUAGAACUGGUUCAGCCAUAUAGAUGUCAAGAUGAAGAAGAGCUCGAUGAAGAC